UACAGAGGGUGCAAGCGUUGUUCGGAAUUAUUGGGCGUAAAGCGCGUGUAGGCGGCUUUGCAAGUCGGGUGUGAAAGCCCUCAGCUCAACUGAGGAAGUGCGCCCGAAACUGCAGAGCUUGAGUGCCGGAGAGGGUGGCGGAAUUCCCCAAGUAGAGGUGAAAUUCGUAGAGAUGGGGAGGAACACCGGUGGCGAAGGCGGCCACCUGGACGGUAACUGACGCUGAGACGCGAAAGCGUGGGUAGCAAACAGG
rnacentral:rRNA from 1 species